rnacentral:lncRNA from 1 species
CAGCAGGCUUGUUAGCUGGAGUGCUCAUGGAGAGCUGCUCCCAGAGCAAUGUGCAUCCAUAUGCUGAGGAUAUGAAAUAAUAUUCCUAACUCCUUUUUAGCAGUAUUCCCCAGAUCUACUGAAUGGUUCCAGAAGGGCUGGAACUGCAGAGAGCUGAGAUAAGAGCCCUACCCCUUCCUUGGUGCCGUGAGCACGAGAUGAAGGAUGAAGAGGAACUCAAGAUGCUGUCAAGAUUUCCCUUUGUACAUAUCUGAUCAGUUCAUGCCAGCUUUGGCUCCGUGCCUUUCCAGGGGAGAGCCUCCACCAGCAGGACAAGGUGGUUCAGCCCUCGGCGCAGCAAUGGAGACAGGAUUAGGAGCUGGGCUGGGGAUGGCUCCCACUCCACAAGGCAUGGGAUCUGUGAGAAAUACCUUGGGAAGACAUUGUCAGAGGUGUGCCUUUUUCUGGAGAGGAGUAAGCAGCUGCCUCUCAGCUGGACUUCUCGUCGCCAUUGCUGGGAUUACCAGGAUAGCAGCAAGACACAUGGAGGUCUCCCAGGGAGGCAGGAGACCACCUGGCUGAGGGACUUUGCUGUGCUCAGAGCCCGGGGCACCAGCACCUCCGU